rnacentral:rRNA from 1 species
CACAUCUAAGGAAGGCAGCAGGCGCGCAAAUUACCCAAUCCUGACUCAGGGAGGUAGUGACAAGAAAUAACAAUAAACCGGCUUAUGCCGGUUUAAUUGGAAUGAGUACAAUUUAAACAUCUUAACGAGGAACAAUUGGAGGGCAAGUCUGGUGCCAGCAGCCGCGGUAAUUCCAGCUCCAAUAGCGUAUACUAAAGUUGUUGCAGUUAAAAAGCUCGUAGUUGGAUUUCUGUGGGGACGGAGCGGCCGGCCGCACAUCGCGGUUCGAGCUAGCGCUUUCCCUACAUCCUGCCGCGAACCGUGCUACCAUUAGUUUGGUGGCGCCGGGGAUCGGCUCGAUUACUUUGAGAAAAAUAGAGUGUUCAAAGCAGGCCACACGCCUUGAAUAAGUUAGCAUGGAAUAAUAACUAAGGACUUCGGUUCUAUUUUGUUGGUGUUCGGGACUGAAGUAAUGAUUGAUAGGGACAGUUGGGGCGGUCUGUAUUCCAAAGCGAGAGGUGAAAUUCUUAGACCUUCGGAAGACAAACAGCUGCGAAAGCGUUCCGCAAGGAUGUUCCCUUUGAUCAAGAACGAAAGUUGGGGGAUCGAAGACGAUCAGAUACCGUCGUAAUCUCAACUAUAAACUAUACCAGCUAGGGAUCGGCCAACGUUAUUUUAUACUGACUUGGUCGGCACCUUAUGAGAAAUCAAAGCAUCUGGGUUCCGGGGGGAGUAUGGUCGCAAGGCUGAAACUUAAAGGAAUUGACGGAAGGGCACCACCAGCCGUGGAGCCUGUGGCUUAAUUUGACUCAACACGGGAAAACUUACCAGGUCCAGACAUAGUAAGGAUUGACAGAUUGAUAGCUCUUUCUUGAUUCUGUGGGUGGUGGUGCAUGGCCGUUCUUAGUUGGUGGAGUGAUUUGUCUGGUUAAUUCCGUUAACGAACGAGACCCCAGCCUGCUAAAUAGCGCGCGUGAGCUUUGCUCGCGGCGAGCUUCUUAGAGGGACUAUGAUGCGCGAUAGCACAUGGAAGUUUGGGGCAAUAACAGGUCUGUGAUGCCCUUAGAUGUUCUGGGCCGCACACGGGCUACACUGGCGCCUGCAACGAGCAUAUCAGCUGGCCCGAGAGGGUCUUGGCUAAUCUUUUGAACCGGCGCCGUGCUUGGGAUUGACCUUUGCAAUUGUUGGUCAUGCAACGAGGAAUGCCUUGUAAACGCGAGUCAUCAGCUCGCAUUGAAUACGUCCCUGCCCUUUGUACACACCGCCCGUCGCUCCUACCGAUGAAUGUUCCGAUGAAAUUUUCGGAGAGCACCUGUGAACUUGGCUCUGCCUUGCGAACGGGAGGCUCAAAGUCACUUAAAUCUGAACAUUUCGAGG